rnacentral:rRNA from 1 species
UACGUAGGGCGCAAGCGUUAUCCGGAAUUAUUGGGCGUAAAGAGCUCGUAGGCGGCUUGUCGCGUCGUCCGUGAAAACUUGGGGCUCAACCCCAAGCUUGCGGUCGAUACGGGCAGGCUAGAGUUCGGCAGAGGAGACUGGAAUUCCUGGUGUAGCAGUGAAAUGCGUAGAUAUCAGGAGGAAUACCGAUGGUGAAGGCAGGUCUCUGGGCUGAUACUGACGCUCAUGCACGAAAGCGUGGGGAGCAAACAGG